AAAGAAUAAACUUAACCAAUUUUUAAUCAUAUCCUGUUGGCACUUUAUUAUUCUUAUCCUUAUUUUUAGCUAGGUUAGCAACCUGAUAGCAUAACACUAUCACAACGCGUAUUUUCUAUUUCUCAAAGGACUUCUUUCGAUUCUCACUCUCUGCAAAACCGUCUCCUCUCUCCCACUCUUUUCCAUCAACAACCUCCCUAUCUCCUUGCUUCUGCUCUCAAUUUCUGUUCGUGUCUACCUUUCAAUUUUUCCCCCUAAUUUUUUUUUUUGCACUUAUGUUCCCAAUCGAGGUACUUUUAAUUCUUAAAUUUGGUGCUUAUGUUCCUAAAUAAUUGAUUGGAAAAGGGUAAAAUGACAUUGUUUGUUUGUUUUCCUAAUUACAUGCCACCGUUUUGAGUUUUAUCUUCAUCGCCCAUUGUAUAUAUCUUCCAUAAGUGCUAAAUUGCUAUCGGUGGUAAGAAAGAUCUAUUUUUUAGUUUUGUUGAUACAAUAAGAAAGAUCUAUUUUCUCUCU
rnacentral:lncRNA from 1 species